UCAGCCAACGUGUCAGCACAAAAGCCUUCAAAGCAAGCAAGGCGAUGGUGGGUGAGACCGUCCCUUCGCUCGCGAGAAGUGGCCGUCCACACAGGGCGUCUGCUCUUGCGCUCGCACGACGAGGAGAAUUUCCGAGAUUAGCUUCAUGCGGAUGCCGCCACGAACGUUCGAUGCUGUGCUCGAACUGCUGCGCCCCGCAAUAUCCAAGCAGGACACAAACCACCGGCUUACAAUUUCGGCGCACGACUGCCUGGCCAUGACCAUUAGGUAUGCCAAGGAAGUGCGAGAUAAAUUGGCGCACUACUUCGUCACAGACGGUCAGGUGCCUUGGCAGGACAAAGUGGUGAACAGCACUUGAGGCGUACAAGGUGAAGGUG